rnacentral:rRNA from 1 species
CUCAAGAUGAGAUUUCCCAACUUCGGUUAUAAGAUCCCUCAAAGAUGAUGAGGUUAAUAGGUUCGAGGUGGAAGCAUGGUGACAUGUGGAGCUGACGAAUACUAAUCGAUCGAAGACUUAAUCAA